AUGCCGCUGACGUCGGAAAAAGUGUGGCGCGCGAUUCAGGACGCCCGCAAGGCGAAGUCGGCGUAAGAGGGUCUUUGUAAAACUUUCGCGAACCCUCGACAGCAACACUGUCAUGCCCGGACUUGUUCCGGGCAUCCNCGAUUGUCGAAGCACAAUGCUCAAUUCAUCGGGAUCACCGGGACAUAGGCGAGCGAAGCGACGCCGUCCUUCAGACGGUAUGCCCGGUAAUGACAACUGUGGGUGAUGAGGCUCUGAACGGCGCACACUGUCGCAUCACACCC
rnacentral:misc_RNA from 1 species